rnacentral:rRNA from 1 species
AUGAGGCGAAAUUAGUAGGCGGACGGGUGAGUAACACGUGAGCAACCUACCUCGGAGGGGAUAACAUUGAGAAAUCAGUGCGUAAUACCGCAUAACACUGCGAGAGGACAUCCUCAGUAGCAGGUCAAAGGAGUAAUCCACCUGAAGAUGGGCUCGCGGCUGAUUAGCCAGUUGGUGGGGUAACGGCCUACCAAAGCGAUGAUCAGUAGCCGAGCUGAGAGGCUCAACGGCCACAUUGGGACUGAGACACGGCCCAGACUCCUACGGGAGGCAGCAGUCGGGAAUAUUGCACAAUGGAGGAAACUCUGAUGCAAGUGACGCCGCGUAUAGGAUGAGGGUCUUUGGAUUGUAAACUAUUGUCGACAGGGAAGAAAAAAUGACAGUACCUGUGGAGGAAGCUCCGGCUAACUACGUGCCAGCAGCAGC